rnacentral:rRNA from 1 species
GAUGAACGCUGGCGGCGUGCCUAAUACAUGCAAGUCGAGCGAACGGACGAGAAGCUUGCUUCCUUGAUGUUAGCGGCGGACGGGUGAGUAACACGUGGAUAACCUACCUAUAAGACUGGGAUAACUUCGGGAAACCGGAGCUAAUACCGGAUAAUAUUUUGAACCUCAUUGUUCAAAAGUGAAAGACGGUCUUGCUGUCACUUAUAGAUGGAUCCGCGCUGCAUUAGCUAGUUGGUAAGGUAACGGCUUACCAAGGCAACGAUGCAUAGCCGACCUGAGAGGGUGAUCGGCCACACUGGAACUGAGACACGGUCCAGACUCCUACGGGAGGCAGCAGUAGGGAAUCUUCCGCAAUGGGCGAAAGCCUGACGGAGCAACGCCGCGUGAGUGAUGAAGGUCUUCGGAUCGUAAAACUCUGUUAUUAGGGAAGAACAUAUGUGUAAGUAACUGUGCACAUCUUGACGGUACCUAAUCAGAAAGCGACGGCUAACUACGUG